rnacentral:rRNA from 1 species
UGGGGAAUCUUGGACAAUGGGGGCAACCCUGAUCCAGCAAUGCCGCGUGUGGGAUGAAGGCCUUCGGGUUGUAAACCACUUUUGGCGGGGGCGAAAUAUCGAGUGCUAAUACCAUUCGGUGAUGACGGUACCCGCAGAAUAAGCACCGGCUAACUACGUGCCAGCAGCCGCGGUAAUACGUAGGGUGCAAGCGUUAAUCGGAAUUACUGGGCGUAAAGCGUGCGCAGGCGGUUAGGUAAGACAGGUGUGAAAUUCCCGGGCUCAACCUGGGAACUGCAUUUGUGACUGCCUGACUAGAGUGCGGCAGAGGGGAGUGGAAUUCCGCGUGUAACAGUGAAAUGCGUAGAUAUGCGGAGGAACACCGAUGGCGAAGGCAACUCCCUGGGCCUGCACUGACGCUCAUGCACGAAAAGCGUGGGGAGCAAAACAGGAUUAGAUACCCUGGUAGUCCACGCCCUAAAACGAUGUCGACUAGUUGUUGGACGGGUUACUGUUCAGUAACGAAGCUAACGCGUGAAGUCGA